rnacentral:rRNA from 1 species
UCCCCCAAGAGUCCACAUCGACGGGGAGGUUUGGCACCUCGAUGUCGGCUCAUCACAUCCUGGGGCUGUAGUAGGUCCCAAGGGUUGGGCUGUUCGCCCAUUAAAGUGGUACGCGAGCUGGGUUCAGAACGUCGUGAGACAGUUCGGUCCCUAUCCGUCGCAGGCGUAGGAAAUUUGAGAAGACCUGUCCUUAGUACGAGAGGACCGGGAUGGACGUACCUCUGGUGUACCAGUUGU